rnacentral:lncRNA from 1 species
CAGCAGAAACUUCACUUGACUGUGGCACAGAAAGACAUUCACUCGUGCUGGGACCAAGGUCAUCAGUGGCAAAGGGUUCAAAAUGUGAAGAUGUAGACAUAGUACUCCCGUUGUCCGCAUCAUUUUGUUCGCAGUCCUGACAUGCUUCUGUAGGGAAGUUCUUGUCAAAAGUUUCAUCAUCUGUAGAAGCAAGACUUUCACUGGGAGUGAGUUCAGAGUUUGAUGCUAUCCAUGUUGCGGUAUUUAGUGAUUUUAUACAUCUCCCCUUCUCGUUGUUCUCAGAUAAAUGUCUGGUCACUAUAU